GAUGAAAAGGCCUGUUAGAGUCGAUCAUUUCAGAUAAUUUUUAUUUUCUCUUUUUUUCAUACAGACAUCAUCAUUUCACUAUUGAUUUGAAAUAAACAUGUGUAUUUAUGAUAAAAAUCCAUAAUAUUAUUACAAGGCCAAUACACAUAAAAGUCAGAUGUGUCAAUUUUAUUUUUAGAAACGGUUGCGGUCACAUAGUAAUUGACAGAAUUAAAUGUAAAUUUCAGCAUAUUUUUUUUCACACAAAAAUGUGUUUGUGCGUAGAAAUGUGAUCAGGCUGAGCACAUGGCCUUAUGGAUUACAUAAUUUUCGGCGCUUUACGUAAAAACAGUUUAAGGACAGGAUCACAAACACUCAAUUUAUGCUUAAAUGUACAUGCGAUACAUUAUGCAUAUGCAUAUAGUUCACGAUAGUAUCGCAUAUGGAAGUAACUGGAAUAAAUUUGGACUAUUUCCUUCGGAUGUUUACAUGACUGUGCUGUCAAAAGGCCUCCCAUGUGUUUACAUAUUUUGACAGGUCGAGUUGCUCUUGCAGGAACGACGAUAAGAUGAAGAAGUAAAUUGAUCCAAAUAAACAAUGGUACAAUGAAUGUUAUAAUUACCAAGAAGAAGACUGCACUUUUAUACAGUUGAAGUAUGAUAUGGUGAAUAAGUACCCUCAGUGUAGCCUUAUGGAGCUUUGGCUAGACCAUGAACAGUAGACAUCAAUAAGGUACAGGAUAGUUGCUGCUUUUAUUAAAUUCUUUCAUGUAUAUACUAAUUAUCAGUUCAUAUGAAACUUGGUACACAACAUCAGCAUGAAGUGGACAGGGCUAUCAAAUUUGAUUAUUUGUUCCUUCAAUUAAUAUGCCAUUUGUUUAUUUUUAAAUUAUUAUAUCACAGCUACCUUGAUACCUUGUGUAUUAAAACUCCUGCAAAUUCAAUCAGAUUCAAAUGGGUCAUGGUAUACUUUAUGGCCAGGCAGCAGACAUACACAUACUAUAGUGAAUUUUACAUUCUGGUGACCCAUUUCUAAACUUAUGGCCCUUUUUGGACUUUGAAUUAAAUACAUAUUACAGUAUGUACUCAGCUCCUCCCCCACUUUCUAUCCAAUACCCUUGUAACUUGUUAUACAUAUUU